rnacentral:rRNA from 1 species
GAACACGCUACGAAGAGCAAGUGGUGGAUGCCUUGGCAUCGAGAGGCGACGAAGGACGUGAUUAACUGCGAUAAGCCACGGGGAGUUGUACGUAAGCGUCGAUCCGUGGAUCUCCGAAUCGGGAAACCGAACGGCCUAAACAGCCGUUGCUAAGCGCGAACGCAGGGAACUGAAACAUCUAAGUACCUGCAGGAGUAGAAAUCAACCGAGAUUCCCCAAGUAGCGGCGAGCGAACGGGGAACAGCCCAAACCCACCAGUGUGUAAGCGGCAGGCGUUGCCUGGUAGGGGGUUGCGGGAAAGAGUCGGGUAAUCUGCAUGAGCCCGGGAAGUUCUAAAAAACUGUGUGGUAGCAGAACAUAUUGGAAAAGUGGCCACAGCGGGUGAUAGCCCCGUAUGCAAAACUACACAGUCUUCCAUUCUUAUCCCAAGUACGGCGGGACACGUGAAACCCUGUCGGAAUCUGGGGGGCCCACCCUCCAAGGCUAAAUACUACUCGAUGACCGAUAGUGAACCAGUACCGUGAGGGAAAGGCGAAAAGAACCCCGAUAAGGGGAGUGAAAUAGAUACUGAAACCGCUUGCUUACAAGCUCCAGAAGCACUACGCGCAAGCAGUGUGACUGGGUGCCUUUUGCAUAAUGAGUCCGCGAGUUGCUCUGUGUGGCAAGGUUAAGCCGUGAGGUGGAGCCGAAGCGAAAGCGAGUCUGAAAAUGGCGAAUUAGUCGCAUGGAGCAGACCCGAAACCUUGUGAUCUAUCCAUGGCCAGGCUGAAGUCGAGGUAACACGAGAUGGAGGGCCGAACCCACUGACGUUGAAAAGUCAAGGGAUGAGCUGUGGAUCGGAGUGAAAGGCUAAUCAAACUGGGAGAUAGCUGGUUCUCCCCGAAACAUAUUUAGG